rnacentral:rRNA from 1 species
AUUGAACGCUGGCGGCAGGCCUAACACAUGCAAGUCGAGCGAGCGGCGGACGGGUGAGGAAUGUAUGGGGACUGCCCGAUAGAGGGGGAUAACUACUGGAAACGGUAGCUAAUACCGCAUACUAUCGGAUAACCCAUAUGGGAUUAGCUAGUAGGUGAGGUAAUGUCUCACCUAGGCGACGAUCCCUAGCUGGUCUGAGAGGAUGAUCAGCCACACGGAGACUGAGACACGGCCCAGACUCCUACGGAGGCAGCAGUGGGGAAUCUUGGACAAUGGGCGCAAGCCUUAUUCAGCCAUGCCGCGUGUAUGAAGAAGGCCCUAGGGUUGUAAAGUGCUUUUGGCAGAGAAGCGGUAUCUGCAGAAUAAGCACCGGCUAACUACGUGCCAGCAGCCGCGGUAAUAC